AGAUUGAACGCUAGCGGGAUGCUUUACACAUGCAAGUCGAACGGCAGCGCGGACUUCGGUCUGGCGGCGAGUGGCGAACGGGUGAGUAAUAUAUCGGAACGUGCCCAGUAGCGGGGGAUAACUACGCGAAAGCGUGGCUAAUACCGCAUACGCCCUACGGGGGAAAGGGGGGGAUCGCAAGACCUCUCACUAUUGGAGCGGCCGAUAUCAGAUUAGCUAGUUGGUGAGGUAAAGGCUCACCAAGGCGACGAUCUGUAGCUGGUUUGAGAGGACGACCAGCCACACUGGGACUGAGACACGGCCCAGACUCCUACGGGAGGCAGCAGUGGGGAAUUUGGACAAUGGGGGAAACCCUGAUCCAGCCAUCCCGCGUGUGCGAUGAA
rnacentral:rRNA from 1 species